rnacentral:rRNA from 1 species
CCUACGGGAGGCAGCAGUGAGGAAUAUUGGUCAAUGGGCGCGCGCCUGAACCAGCCAAGUAGCGUGAAGGAUGACUGCCCUACGGGUUGUAAACCUCUUUUAUCAAGGAAUAAAGUGAGCCACGUGUGCCCUUUUGUAUGUACUUUAUGAAUAAGGAUCGGCUAACUCCGUGCCACCAGCCGCGGUAAUACGGAGGAUCCGAGCGUUAUCCGGAUUUAUUGGGUUUAAAGGGAGCGUUGGUGGGUUGUUAAGUCAGGUGGGAAAGUUUCGGGCUCAACCGUCAAAUUGCCAUUGAUACUGGCAGCCUUGAGUACAGUUGAGGUAUGCGGAAUGCGUGGUGUAGCGGUGAAAUGCUUAGAUAUCACGAAGAACUCCGAUUGCGAAGGCAGCAUACCGACGCGCCACUGACAUUGAUGCUCGAAAGUGUGGGUAUCGAACAGGAUUAGAUACCCUGGUAGUC